CGACGAUUACGAACGCAGUGCAGUAUCAAUAGGUUUAAUAACGAGGUGCUUACCUUUGCCAGAUUUAUUUGGCGGUGGCCCAUCCCGAUUCCAUGGCGGGUCUCCGUGACCCGAGAACUCGCGAAGUUUGAGGUACGAGAUGGUUAGCCUUAUUAUAGAGGCUUUGUCCAACUGGGAGGUAAUAGCCGCCGGUAAUGGCAGCAUUUUCGCUAACUCGUAGAACUCGAAGUUCUCCUUCCCCCUUCGAGACCUGGCAGCGUCUCUGCUUUUUUCCUUGCGCAGCUCUAGGAUGCUCUGCAACCUCGGUUCCAAUCAACCACCGUCGGUUUCUCGGCAUCUCAAGGACCGAUCCUGCGAUUCGUCCUGCAUUAAGG
rnacentral:misc_RNA from 1 species